CAGCAAGGCAAUUAAGCACUUCAGAGGACCCUGCUCCCUCAACUGUUUGUAAAAACUCUUGCUGCGUUCGCUCCCCUCAUCUGUCUGCAACUACUGGUGACAGCCACAAUACACACCCGCUCUCUAGUUGUGGUGCCUGGGCUCCAGAGUGUGCAGGCUUCAGAGCACGUGGAAUCAGUAGUUGCUGCGAGCAUGCUUAGUUUCUUUGCAGUAUGUGGGAUCUUAGUUCCCUGACCAAGGAUUGAACCUGUGUCCCCUGCAUUGCAAGGUGGAUUCUUAACCGCUGGACCACCAGGGAAGUCCCUUUCUUUCUCUGUUGAUGGACCUUUGUUUUACUUCAGCAGAUGUGAAAUCUUUCUAUACACCACUCCCCCGGACGAUGAUGACUUCCGUUGUGUCUGGAACUCCAUGCUGUCCCAUGUUUCUGACCUUUAGUUUCUUCCUGUCUACUGUCAUCUCUGUGGUCCACAAUGGUGUGCAAGUCUCUCGUACCUGAAGACAAAUAAAGGAAGCUGCAGUCACCUCCAGAUGACCUUGUUUCUUCCACGCCAACACACAGAGUUGUGCUUCAUAAAUUUUACCUGCUUCCAAGUGUGAAUCCCCGCCCCCGUCUUCACUUUUUCAUUUCCAAAUAUCCCUCUAAUUUCUGAGUCCACUUAAAGGCAUCUUCUGCUCCAGCCACCGGCUAAAGCA